GACGUAGGGCGCAAGCGUUGUCCGGAUUUAUUGGGCGUAAAGAGCUCGUAGGCGGCUCGUUGCGUCGGCUGUGAAAACCCGCAGCUCAACUGUGGGCUUGCAGCCGAUACGGGCGGGCUGGAGUUCGGUAGGGGAGACUGGAAUUCCUGGUGUAGCGGUGAAAUGCGCAGAUAUCGGGAAGAACACCCGUGGCUAAGGCGGCUCUCUAGUACGGUACUGACGCUGAGACGCGAAAGCGUGGGGAGCGAACAGG
rnacentral:rRNA from 1 species